CCUACGGGAGGCUGCAGUGGGGAAUAUUGCACAAUGGGGGGAACCCUGAUGCAGCAACGCCGCGUGGGUGAAGAAGUACUUCGGUAUGUAAAGCCCUGUCAGCAGGGAAGAAAAUGACGGUACCUGACCAAGAAGCCCCGGCUAACUACGUGCCAGCAGCCGCGGUAAUACGUAGGGGGCAAGCGUUAUCCGGAUUUACUGGGUGUAAAGGGAGCGUAGACGGCAAGGCAAGUCUGGCGUGAAAGCCCGUGGCUCAACCACGGGACUGCUUUGGAAACUGUGUUGCUGGAGUGCAGGAGAGGUAAGCGGAAUGCCUAGUGUAGCGGUGAAAUGCGUAGAUAUUAGGAAGAACACCGGUGGCGAAGGCGGCUUACUGGACUGUAACUGACGUUGAGGCUCGAAGGCGUGGGGAGCAAACAGGAUUAGAUACCCUAGUAGUC
rnacentral:rRNA from 1 species